UAUCUCUGUAGAGUCUGCAUAUCAAUAAGCGGAGGAAAAGAAACUAACAAGGAUUCCCCUAGUAACGGCGAGUGAAGCGGGAAGAGCUCAAAUUUGAAAUCUUCAAGGUUUGACCUUGACGAAUCGUAGUUUAAAGAAGUGUUUUCGGUUAGAGGAGUAGUAAAAGUUCUUUGGAAUAGGACAUCAUAGAGGGUGAGAAUCCCGUAUUUGACCAUUAUUUUCAGCUGUGUGAUACACUUUCAAAGAGUCGGAUUGUUUGGGAAUGCAGUCCAAAAUGGGUGGUAAAUUUCAUCUAAAGCUAAAUAUUGGCGAGAGACCGAUAGCGAACAAGUACCGUGAGGGAAAGAUGAAAAGAACUUUGAAAAGAGAGUUAAACAGUACGUGAAAUUGUCAAAAGGGAAGCGUUUGACACCAGUGUUGUUUUCUCGAAAAUCAAUUAAAAAUAGUUGGAUUUUGCGUUGUAUUGACCUUAACAGCUUGCUUCACUCUUUUCUUGCUUUUUUUAAUGCACUUUUCGUUUAACAAGUCAACAUCAGUUUCUUUUGUUGUAAGAGGGUCAUUGGAAGGUGGCUUUCUCUUCGGAGAAAGUGUUUAUAGCCUUUGAUCUCUGCAAUCGGAGAGACUGAGGUCUGCAGCGUAGAUCCUUCGGGGUUAGAUACAUUUGUGCUAAGCUACAGCUUUUCAUAGACAACUUGUUGACUAUGUUUAGUCUUGUGACUUACCCGCUUAUGCUAUUUUACCUACGCUUAGGAUGUUGAGCGCAUGUCUCUCUCU
rnacentral:rRNA from 1 species